UGACGCUGGCGGCAGGCUUACACAUGCAAGUCGAGCGGGGGAAGGUAGCUUGCUACCGGACCUAGCGGCGGACGGGUGAGUAAUGCUUAGGAAUCUGCCUAUUAGUGGGGGACAACAUCUCGAAAGGGAUGCUAAUACCGCAUACGUCCUACGGGAGAAAGCAGGGGAUCUUCGGACCUUGCGCUUAAUAGAUGAGCCUAAGUCGGAUUAGCUAGUUGGUGGGGUAAAGGCCUACCAAGGCGACGAUCUGUAGCGGGUCUGAGAGGAUGAUCCGCCACACUGGGACUGAGACACGGCCCAGACUCCUACGGGAGGCAGCAGUGGGGAAUAUUGGACAAUGGGGGGAACCCUGAUCCAGCCAUGCCGCGUGUGUGAAGAAGGCCUUAUGGUUGUAAAGCACUUUAAGCGAGGAGGAGGCUACUUUAGUUAAUACCUAGAGA
rnacentral:rRNA from 1 species